rnacentral:rRNA from 1 species
CAGUCGCCGCGGUAAUACGUAGGUGGCAAGCGUUGUCCGGAAUUAUUGGGCGUAAAGGGCUCGCAGGCGGUUUCUUAAGUCUGAUGUGAAAGCCCCCGGCUCAACCGGGGAGGGUCAUUGGAAACUGGGAAACUUGAGUGCAGAAGAGGAGAGUGGAAUUCCACGUGUAGCGGUGAAAUGCGUAGAGAUGUGGAGGAACACCAGUGGCGAAGGCGACUCUCUGGUCUGUAACUGACGCUGAGGAGCGAAAGCGUGGGGAGCAAACAGGAUUAGAUACCCCAGUAGUCCCUGUCUCUUAUAC